UGUGAACUCGAAGAGUAGGGCGGGACACGUGGUAUCCUGUCUGAAUAUGGGGGGACCAUCCUCCAAGGCUAAAUACUCCUGACUGACCGAUAGUGAACCAGUACCGUGAGGGAAAGGCGAAAAGAACCCCGGCGAGGGGAGUGAAAAAGAACCUGAAACCGUGUACGUACAAGCAGUGGGAGCACCUUCGGGUGUGACUGCGUACCUUUUGUAUAAUGGGUCAGCGACUUAUAUUCUGUAGCAAGGUUAACCGUAUAGGGGAGCCGCAGGGAAACCGAGUCUUAACUGGGCGUUAAGUUGCAGGGUAUAGACCCGAAACCCGGUGAUCUAGCCAUGGGCAGGUUGAAGGUUGGGUAACACUAACUGGAGGACCGAACCGACUAAUGUUGAAAAAUUAGCGGAUGACUUGUGGCUGGGGGUGAAAGGCCAAUCAAACCGGGAGAUAGCUGGUUCUCCCCGAAAGCUAUUUAGGUAGCGCCUCGUGAACUCAUCUUCGGGGGUAGAGCACUGUUUCGGCUAGGGGGUCAUCCCGACUUACCAACCCGAUGCAAACUACGAAUACCGAAGAAUGUUAUCACGGGAGACACACGGCGGGUGCUAACGUCCGUCGUGAAGAGGGAAACAACCCAGACCGCCAGCUAAGGUCCCAAAGUCAUGGUUAAGUGGGAAACGAUGUGGGAAGGCACAGACAGCCAGGAUGUUGGCUUAGAAGCAGCCAUCAUUUAAAGAAAGCGUAAUAGCUCACUGGUCGAGUCGGCCUGCGCGGAAGAUGUAACGGGGCUAAACCAUGCACCGAAGCUGCGGCAGCGACACUAUGUGUUGUUGGGUAGGGGAGCGUUCUGUAAGCCUGCGAAGGUGUGCUGUGAGGCAUGCUGGAGGUAUCAGAAGUGCGAAUGCUGACAUAAGUAACGAUAAAGCGGGUGAAAAGCCCGCUCGCCGGAAGACCAAGGGUUCCUGUCCAACGUUAAUCGGGGCAGGGUGAGUCGACCCCUAAGGCGAGGCCGAAAGGCGUAGUCGAUGGGAAACAGGUUAAUAUUCCUGUACUUGGUGUUACUGCGAAGGGGGGACGGAGAAGGCUAUGUUAGCCGGGCGACGGUUGUCCCGGUUUAAGCAUGUAGGCUGGUUAUCCAGGCAAAUCCGGAUAAUCAAGGCUGAGGUGUGAUGACGAGGCACUACGGUGCUGAAGUAACAAAUGCCCUGCUUCCAGGAAAAGCCUCUAAGCAUCAGGUAACAUCAAAUCGUACCCCAAACCG
rnacentral:rRNA from 1 species